rnacentral:rRNA from 1 species
CGCGCAGGCGGGUUGGCAAGUCAGAGGUGAAAUCCUACAGCUUAACUGUAGAACUGCCUUUGAGACUGCUAAUCUUGAGUACGGAAGAGAGAGAUGGAAUUCCAGGUGUAGUGGUGAUAUACGUAGAUAUCUGGAAGAACACCAGUGGCGAAGGCGAUCUCUUGGUCCAUUACUGACGCUGAGGCGCGAAAGCGUGGGGGGCAAACA